rnacentral:rRNA from 1 species
UGGGGAAUAUUGCACAAUGGGCGCAAGCCUGAUGCAGCCAUGCCGCGUGUAUGAAGAAGGCCUUCGGGUUGUAAAGUACUUUCAGUCGGGAGGAAGGUGUCAAGGUUAAUAACCUUGGCAAUUGACGUUACCGACAGAAGAAGCACCGGCUAACUCCGUGCCAGCAGCCGCGGUAAUACGGAGGGUGCAAGCGUUAAUCGGAAUUACUGGGCGUAAAGCGCACGCAGGCGGUUGAUUGAGUCAGAUGUGAAAUCCCCGGGCUUAACCCGGGAAUUGCAUCUGAUACUGGUCAGCUAGAGUCUUGUAGAGGGGGGUAGAAUUCCAUGUGUAGCGGUGAAAUGCGUGGAGAUGUGGAGGAAUACCGGUGGCGAAGGCGGCCCCCUGGACAAAGACUGACGCUCAGGUGCGAAAGCGUGGGGAGCAAACAGG